UUUAAAGGAGGCGUAAGCUAUCGCUAUUGGAUGGACCCGCGGUGCAUUAGCUAGUUGGUAAGGUAACGGCUUACCAAGGCUAUGAUGCAUAGCCGAGUUGAGAGACUGAUCGGCCACAUUGGGACUGAGACACGGCCCAAACUCCUACGGGAGGCAGCAGUAGGGAAUCUUCCACAAUGGACGCAAGUCUGAUGGAGCAACGCCGCGUGAGUGAAGAAGGGUUUCGGCUCGUAAAGCUCUGUUGUUAGUGAAGAAGGAUAGAGGUAGUAACUGGCCUUUAUUUGACGGUAAUCAACCAGAAAGUCACGGCUAACUACGUGCCAGCAGCCGCGGUAAUACGUAGGUGGCAAGCGUUGUCCGGAUUUAUUGGGCGUAAAGCGAGCGCAGGCGGUUCAAUAAGUCUGAUGUGAAAGCCCUCGGCUCAACCGAGGAAUUGCAUCGGAAACUGUUUAUCUUGAGUGCAGAAGAG
rnacentral:rRNA from 1 species